UGAUGAGAUCGUGUGAAACAGCCACCCCCCAUUUCUUCCUCCUCCAUUGGUGGACACAAGGUCUGAACACUGUAACUCCUCUACGUUCCUUCUCAAUAGAUUAUUCCUGUCGAGUAUCUGAAAGGCGUUUGUGGGUUAUUUCAGACUAGCAUGGCAUUCUGGCUUGUCUUUUUGCUUCUCUCUUAGAACUCUCUUUAAUGACUGAGCUGUUGAAGGUUGUUUCAGCUAGAGUUCUGGAUAGAUUUCAAGGAACAACCUUGAGACAACAAUGCUGUUCUGAGUGUGAAGACUUGUAGUUCAAGUGCUUCUAUGCGUGUGGCUUUGCCUUUUUAAGUAGCAGUUAGAAAUGCAUAAAUCACAUAUGAAGAUAUGGAGCUCUCAUUACCUUUGUAAAAAAUUUCUGAUCUUCAGAUUUUAUGAUAACCAGCCCUGUCUACAUUGCAUUGCUGCUUUAGUAGAGAGAUAAGAUCUGGAUUGAGGAUUUCUAGCUGUAAAAUGUGAUACACAGACUGUAUUCCUCUUACAGCCUUCCUGAAAGUGAAAGUUGCAUGUCGGAAAUAGCAUUAUGGUGGCAAGUAGCCAGCAGAGAGCUGAUGUAUCCCUUGCCAAACAAAGUGGAUCACUCUGAUUGUUUGAUAAUGAGUUAUUGCAGUUAAAAAUAACCACUCACCCAUCAACAGAGCAGAAGAGAAUUUGCAAUAUGAAGUACUAGAUUUUAUUAUUGAGAAGUGAAAGUUGAAUUAUAGUAAUUUUCUUUUUGUGAAGUGUUAUAGCUAGAGUUCCACUGAUAAAGAUUAAAAUAUCUGAAUAAGUAAUCUUAGACUGCUGAAUGGCUACAGCUAGGUUUAUCGCAUUAAUAGCUAUGGAUUUCUCAUCAGUUGAAAUCAAUACAGGAAGCGAGGUUUUGGGUUCAGUGCAGGAAACAUAGAUAAUACUGUGGCUGGUGUCAUACAGGAAGCGAGGUGAAAUUACCAUUGGGAUUACCAUUGGGAUUCCUUUGGUCUUCGAGUUUGUCUGACUCAGUCUAUUUGAAUAGAUCUAUCAAAGUUGUUGUAUUAGCCAUAAUGUUAAAAUUCUGCUUGGAUGAUAGUGGGGGAAAAAACACCAUAGAAAAAUAAAAGAUCUGUUUGAGAAACUUUGUUCUUAUGGAAUGUGGACUUACAAACAUUUUUAGGUCUAUGUAUACACACACACGCACAUAAAAAAGCUUUGAUUUCUAUUCUGUAAAAGCUAAUACGAUGAUAGUAAAAUACCAGAAAAUCCCAAAAUCCUCCAAAAUGAAAAAUGCUCUUUCUACCUUGGCCUUCAGAAAUGCCUAUAAAAUAUACUGAUUUUUAUAGCCUUUGAUUCUCUGAUAGAGGCACCAAAUAUUGCACAGCUGAAUAGCGCUGAGUGGAGCUGUAGUUAUGAAUGAAUCUUUCAAACUUUGUUCACUAUUUCUGUCCACUAUAGAAUAAGCCACUUACUUAUUUUUUCCUUUUUAAUAAACCUUUCUCAUUUCCUCAGUUGAAAUUCAUUUGUGGCAGAGAUAAAAAAGGACUUCCAUUUACAAUACUUGUGUUUUGAAUCUCAUAUCUGGAGAAAAUAUACCUCCAGAUGUGUACAGAAUUGUGUUAAUGCCCUGUAUUUAACAUCCGGAAUGUAUACAAGUUGUCUGUGUGUGGUAUUUGUAUUCAGUAGACCUGUUGUCUCAUCAGUACAGUGAGCCGUUGGCGGGAAGCUUCUCUGUUACGAGUAUGCAUAUGUACCCUGUGUAUAGAAUGGAGGUGAAGUAUAUAUGUUAAUGUCUGUUAAAGCAUGAAAUAAGGAUACUGGAUAGGUCACUUCUUGCUGAACUUGUUACCCUGCUGUAUUUGGCUUAACCAUAGGCUGGAUGAAUUUAGCAAGGACUCCUUGGGUGAGGUGAAAGAUGGAGCUAAUUGGACCUCUCCCAGAAAAAAUAAAAGACUGAGAGGAAAGUUCAAGGGAAGCCCCCAGUAGACUGCCUGGCACAUGUGCCUGACUGCGCAGCAGGGGGAUGUACAAAAACAAAUGAAUUUGGUUGAGCUGCAGAGGGAACAAUAUAACUGCCAGCAAGAAAUCCCACAAUCCCUGGUUAUUAUGGGGGGACAGACCAGCCAGAUCAUGAGAAGUGCAAAGUAGGUAGUGUAAUGGCUAGGAUGACUGAGAUUUUACUUGCUUAGCUCCCACGCUUGUCUUGCUAAAUCCGUUCUCUGCCUCAACAGAUGGGCUAUAGUCUGUUCCAUUUGUGAGCUGCACCCAGUGCUCCAAAUUGGGAGUAACAAACAUCUGAAGCAGUGAGUUUGCACUUCAUUCCAUGGUGCUGUGGUGAAAGUCAGGCCUUUUAAGUUGAAGAGAAGAUGGUAAAUAAUCAGUGUAAAACUUUGAAAUAACAGAUUUAGCUCUGUUAAUUCACUUUAUAAUUGCUGUAAUAAUAAUGCUGAGCUUGUUAAAUAUCAACAUUAAUGCCAUAGGUACUUGUGUAGGAGAUCUACUGGGCUGUAGGUCUAAUUAGCUGGUUGCUUAAAAUAUUGUCAGUGUGAAGACUCUGUUUAAAACAACAACAAAAGAAUCUGUAGUAUGUGUUUGUACUAAGAACAGAUACAUUGGAGAGCUGAAUGCUGUUGCUUUUAAGGUUUGCUGACUUGUUUUCGUUGCUUAGUGGAGAGAGCUUUCUCCUGUCCUUCCAUGCAGAGCUACACGAUUACCUGGCACCCAUAUGGAGCAUUCCUGAGAGAAAAAAAACAGGGCUGUGUAGAGGCAAUUCUGAGUGUUUUGUGUCAUUGUCUUUCCCAUCUUGCCACUUCUGAUUGCUCUUGCUCUAGGACAGGAGUCUGGGUCCAGGGAUGUAGCAAAGCAGCUCCUUCUAGUUAAGCUUUGGUAUUUUAUUGAAAUUGAAGUUAAAGCCAAUAGGUUUUUGCAUUACUUUUAACCUUGCCUACAGUCCUUUGCAGUAUGCAUUUCACCAUUGCUGGCUGCUUGCAGUAUGGUCACUUCUUAAACCUUAUUUUAGAUGUGACAGAUGUUUUUAAUGGGGAAGAGAUGCGGUAUCUUGCCAGAUGAGUUUUCAAAGCAUACUGAGCAAGGUGAGCUCAGCUUUCACUUAAAAAUACCAUGCUUCAUUCAGUUCCUAAGUUUCACAAUCAUAUAUCCAGUAACUUCUCAAAUCCAGUUUUAGGAGCAGGUUGGCAUCUAUCUUGCUGUCAGGUUCAGAGACCUAAAGAAGAAUAUUGUCUCUGCAGAACUGUACUGCUAAGAGCUAGACUUCAGUGUAUCUCAUAGCACAUUGUUCUGGGCAGUAUGGGCAGACUCAGAGCCUACAUAUGAUUCCCUGCCUUGCAAGUUUUGCCAGCUUCCAUAGUGGAUAAUGGAAAUCUUUUGCAGAUCUAGGAAAACAUGGUUUCUUCAGUCUGUCUCUUAAGGAUUCAGGAUUCUUGCCUUAGGUCUAGGGUUCCCUGCUACAGUUCCUAAAGUCAUCCAAGAUGGGUGUAACAGACAUAAAUCACAUCCUGGGUCAGGUGUUAGGAAUGUAACUUCCUCAUGCUCACUUCAUAGUGAAUUUCACCACAUUUCAUACAAUUUUCCAUUUAAAAAGUUAGUGUUGUGGGGAGUAGCACAGCUCUUGUUGCACCUACCAUCUACAGUUUCCUGUGGACCUGAAUGGGUCACAAUGACUUUCAGCUUGAGCUGGGUAUUUUUGAAAUUUAGUGUUUAACAGACCCAACGAUUAGUCCUGUCUCUGUGUACUCAAAUGAUUUGAAUACCAUUAACGCUUUCUGCAUUCAAGGUUCUCAUCUUUCAUUAUUGAUCUCUGUUUUGCAAGUACCACCUUGUACAGGGUAAAUAAACUUAAAAUAGUGUUUCUCCAAAUUCUUGAAUGGGUUGAUGUGAGUCACCACGAAAAGUUCCUUGCAGAUUUUCCUCUGCUUUUUCCAUCAGGCUUUUAAUAAAAAGCACUGCAUGAGUCGUACACUUCUGUAAACCAAAUCUGGUCCACUUGUCAGCGUCUGAUGGGACCAUCGUUUGAGAAUGACCGCUCUGGAAACACAGCUGCAGUAGAAAUGUAGUACAUGUUCUUGCUUUCCCAAAAAGAUUGCACAAGGGCUGGAACUCCAGAAGCUGAGAUAAGAGCCCUACCCUUUCUUUGGUGUGGUGAGCAUGAUAUGGAGGAUGGAGAGCAAAGCUAGAACAAGAUGCUGCCAAGAUUUUCCUUUGUACAUAUCUGAUCAGUUUGUGCCAGGUUUGGCUCCAUGCCUUUUCAGAUGAGAGACUCUAUGAUGAGCACAAGGUGGUUGGGCACUUGGAGCAGCAACAGAGACAGGAGAAGCUGGGGUGGGGAUGGCUUCUACUCAACUACGGCAUGGGAUCUGUGAGAAAUACCUUGGGAAGACGUUGCCAGGGGUGUAUCUUUUUUUCUGGAGAGUGCAGAUGAAAGAGUGUCUGGGAGUCACGUUAUGUGCAUGGAUAAAGGGAAUUCUGAUUUACUGGCUCUGGCUCCCCAGGGGCAGGGAUGCUCUUCUAGCACAACUCACGGUUAUGUGACAAAGAGCUCCCUGAAGGGAUUGUAUGCGUUUCUUGUUCAAAAUCUCCUAUGAGAAAAAUUAAGUUAUUGGACUCCCGGUCACCCUGAAAAUGAUUACAGCCGUCCCCUGCAACUCUGUCUCCCCUCACAGACUUUAGCAUGGCAUGCCAGUUUCCCUGCUGCUGAGAUGGUAAUGAUGGAGAGAAGUGAAAUGAAAGAAGUUUAUAAAAAGAGAGUGGUAUCUUCCUAGGCCAGUCUCCGCUCUCGGCCAGCCAGGAGCGCCACUCCAGACCAAGAUUGGGUUUCCUUUGCUGCUGUGGCUCCUCUGGUCCAGUCAUGCUCACUGUGAAGCUGCUAGCAGACGUUUUCCUGACUCCCCCUGCCACAGAUCCAACCCAAGCUGCUUCUCUGCACCCUCACACUCCCACCAUGGUCCUCCCCCUUUUUUUUUUUUUUCCACUGGCCUCCUACUUACUACAGGAUAUGAGCCACUCUCCAGAGGGAAAUAAAAGUUUGGAUUAAAAUUUGGCUUAUUAUUCCUUCUCUAAAAGCAGCUUUCAGGCUGAAAAUAUCCAAGGAUGGAUUUCCAAAGGAGCGCAGGAGAUUUAGGGACAGACUUUUAAGGUCUUUUAGCUACAUUAAAAUGAAAUUACAGGUCCCUUGCAAUUUUUUCAGCAGAAGGAGGUGCUUUUGAAACGUGCACGUGAUAUCCGUUUAUGUCUUUUAGGCAUCUAAAUGCUGCCAGAGAACUGGGGUUUGAACACCUAAGUCCCCUUGAAAGCAAAGAGAGCCAGGCAUCGACUCCCGUACAUUCCUUCCAAAUUCCAGCCAAAAUUGUUGUCCAACUUGGAGCACAAAGUUCUAAUACAAGAGAUUAUAAACCCUAUUUCCGCUCUGCUUUAGCAGGCAGCUUAGCACCAGGGGAAAAAACCACAACACAUAGUGUUGACUGUAUAAACAUCUUGUUUAAAGGGUAACAUCUUCCUGAUUAAUAGCCUUUCAGUAUUAAAAAGAAUCAGUCUAGAGCAUGAUUAAUUGUCCCUUCUACUACUAGUAACCAAAUAUAUGUGUAUAUAUACAUACAAAUGUAUAUACAUACACUUGUGUAAAUGCACAAGCACAUUCUCACUGGAGGAAGCAUUUUUAGCGUGUCUGUUUUCAAAGAAAAUACAAUAUGCAGGAGGUGAGGGCUGCUUUUUACAACGUGGGCAGACGGGAAUGGUUUCAGUUCUUGUAACCCUUUGUUGUAAGAACCAAAGUAUUGCUGUCCUGGUAAAAAGCAUGAAACACUCACCUGGGCAGGGAAGGAGACCAAGAAAGAGGCAGAAGACACUUUGCUUUUCAUCUGGGGAAUGAAUUUUGCUCAGUCGUCAGGGAUGCUCAUUGCAUUUCUACUUCAUCUAUGCUUUACUUGUGGGACUGACAAGGUUAAUGACAAUAAAAAGUUUUCAUUUAAAAGUUGGCAAGGAGAGGUACUUUUCCCCUGACAGAGAUAAUCAAAUUUCAAGUAAUGAUUUAAAAAGACAGUCCUGCCUGGCCCAACCUGUCAGAUGACAGCAAACGCACAACAGUGACACCAUCUUUAUAAGCAAAGACUUUCCCCCCCCACACACCUUCUUGCUCUAAUAUCUAAAUAGCUGAACAGGUCAACUGUUACAUUUGAGUAAUGUCCAGAAAUUUCAGUUAAGCUCAUGGGCUAAAACAAAACACCAUCCUUGCUUUAUUUGACUCAGUCUGCUACAGAUUUUACAUAAAACUCCUCCUGAUCCUACACACGGCUUGAUGAGCCUCAACAGGAUGAUCUCAUGUGUACAAUCAUGGCCUAACAUGUCUAAAUGAGGUACUAAUCCAAGUAAGCAAGACCCCCAGCCCACCACAGUCUCUCCUAGGUCUCAUGGAUUUCCUCCUCAUCUGUCCCACCUUGCAGAACUCAAGUUUUAACAUCGGGUAUCUCCAGAGCAAGUGGCGUGAGCCAGAGUAGAAUUUAUUGCUCUUUUGGCAUUUGCAGUAGUCAGAGGCUGCAAAAAGCGCAUUCACUGUUGCUGCUGAAAGAUAAAAUACAGUUCUGUAUUAUGUGUACAGUCCCUGUGUACACACUCGCCUACACUCUGUGAAGAGUUUUCUUUAUGGUUGGAAAAGAAUUUUUCAAAGUUUGCUUGAAGAACAACACCAAAAUCUGUAGCACCGUGUUGGGACACCCUCAAAGCUUCAGGCUCUCAGCCUAAGCAGAAAGAAAUCCAUUGCCACUUUUAAGGAAGCAGAAGCAAACAAGAAAGCAAAAGCAAACACAAAACCCGUUCUCAAUGGUUAGAGAUUAAAAGCUCCAUCAGCAUUAGAGAUGUAACGUUCAUGGCCCGUGAUUUUCUACAGAGAGGUCUGAAUAAGAGAAGCCGCCCUGCUGGGGAUGAAGAGGGUACUGUUGGUCUGAGACAACAGCUGUGGCAGGUGCAAACUAGCUGUGACGGUGACAGCCCGAGAUGUCCUGCUCUGGGGACACGCACACGUACACGGUGCACAGACACGCACCCGUUGGCACACAAGGGAGAAGGCACCAACCCAUUCCUUCCUGGGCAUCUCCUUGUUUUCUGCUAGGGAUGAGGAGUGGCCUGGUGAGCGGGCAGGAGGGGCAGAGCAUGCCCUGCUGUCCCUGGGGAUGGCUUAGGGCUGGGUGGCAGCCCUUGGGUUGCUCCCCAGCAGCAGUGGGGCUGCUCCUCCAGCCCCCACCCACCAAACCCAAAUGAUGCUGUUCAUCCCCGCUCCAGGGGGGACACAGCGGAGGCCAUGGCUCUAGAAAAAGCAAACAGUUGGGAAGUGCUGGCAGUAAAUGUCGUUUCAACAGUUUAAAAGAGUGAAAUUGUGUUAUAAAUAUUUUAGAUGAUUGACUUAGAUUUUA